rnacentral:rRNA from 1 species
CGCGUAGACGGUUUUGUAAGUCAGAUGUGAAAUCCCUGGGCUCAACCUGGGAACUGCAUUUGAAACUGCAUGGCUAGAGUAUGGUAGAGGGAAGUGGAAUUUCCGGUGUAGCGGUGAAAUGCGUAGAUAUCGGAAGGAACACCAGUGGCGAAAGCGACUUCCUGGACCAAUACUGACGUUCAUGUGCGAAAGCGUGGGGAGCAAACAGGAUUAGAUACCCUGGUAGUCCACGCCAUAAACGAUGACAACUAGAUGUUGGGAGGGUCUGCCUCUCGGUGUCGCAGCUAACGCGUUAAGUUGUCCGCCUGGGGAGUACGGCCGCAAGGUUGAA